ensembl:lncRNA
GCCAAGGAAUGUGGGCUCCCCCCGGGACUGGAAACAGAUUCUCCCCUAGAAACUCCAGCAGGAACGCAGCCCUGAUAAUGUGUUGAUGUUAGCCCCUAACAUCCCUUUGGCACUUCUGGCUUCCAGAGCUACAAGAUAACACAGUUGCAUUCUUUUAAGCUACUACGUCUGUGUGUUUUCUUAUAGCAGCCCUAGGAGACUCAUGCAUGGUCACGGGCCAUCCCUUCUUCACAAAAAUAUGGCAGGUGGCAGUCUUUCAGAAGACAGCAAGGAUGCGCUGGCAUAGGCUGUCCUGUAUCCCAGAUUCCCGGAGGUGAGGGAAUUGAGGCCCAGAGAGGUUAAGAAACUUGCUGAUGGUCACCCAGCAGAAUGGAGCUGAUAAUAACAACUCCCCUCUGGAAGCCAAGAGACCGGGCCUCAGAACCUCUUAAGAAAAUUAAGAAGAGCCGGUGUACACUGACCGCCUACAUGAGAAGAUGCUGUUGCAAUUUUAGCCAUCACCGUUUCGACUGUCCUCGUUUGACCAGUGAGAAAACUGAGGCCCAGAGAGGUGAAGUCACCGACCAAGGACGCACAGCAAGGUAAGGAAACUGACGCUCGCCUGCCCAAGGUCACCCAGCCACUCACAUGGGAG